rnacentral:rRNA from 1 species
GACGGAGGAUGCAAGCGUUAUCCGGAAUGAUUGGGCGUAAAGCGUCCGCAGGUGGCAGUUCAAGUCUGCUGUCAAAGACCGGGGCUUAACUUCGGAAAGGCGGUGGAAACUGAAGCGCUAGAGUGAGGUAGGGGUAGAGGGAAUUCCCGGUGUAGCGGUGAAAUGCGUAGAGAUCGGGAAGAACAUCGGUGGCGAAAGCGCUCUACUGGACCGCAACUGACACUCAGGGACGAAAGCUAGGGGAGCGAAUGGG